rnacentral:rRNA from 1 species
GACGGAGGGUGCAAGCGUUGUUCGGAAUCACUGGGCGUAAAGCGCGUGCAGGCGGUUUGAUAAGUCGGAUGUGAAAGCCCGAGGCUUAACCUCGGAAGUGCAUUCGAAACUGACAGGCUUGAGUACGGGAGAGGGAAGGGGAAUUCCAGGUGUAGAGGUGAAAUGCGUAGAUAUCAGGAGGAACACCGGUGGCGAACGCGGUUUCCUGGACCGAUACUGACGCUGAGACACGAAAGCGUGGGGAGCGAACAGG